rnacentral:rRNA from 1 species
AUUGAACGCUGGCGGCAUGCCUUACACAUGCAAGUCGAACGGCAGCGGACCUUCGGGUGCCGGCGAGUGGCGAACGGGUGAGUAAUAUAUCGGAACGUACCUUCAGGUGGGGGAUAACGUAGCGAAAGUUACGCUAAUACCGCAUAUUCUGUGAGCAGGAAAGCAGGGGAUCGCAAGACCUUGCGCUGAUUGAGCGGCCGAUAUCAGAUUAGCUAGUUGGUGAGGUAAAGGCUCACCAAGGCGACGAUCUGUAGCGGGUCUGAGAGGAUGAUCCGCCACACUGGAACUGAGACACGGUCCAGACUCCUACGGGAGGCAGCAGUGGGGAAUAUUGGACAAUGGGCGCAAGCCUGAUCCAGCAAUGCCGCGUGUGUGAAGAAGGCCUGCGGGUUGUAAAGCACUUUCAGUGGGGAAGAACAGAUUCGGGUCAAUACCCCGGAGCCCUGACGUUACCCACAGAAGAAGCACCGGCUAACUCCGUG